rnacentral:rRNA from 1 species
CCUACGGGGGGCUGCAGUCGAGAAUCAUUCACAAUGGGGGAAACCCUGAUGGUGCGACGCCGCGUGGGGGAAUGAAGGUCUUCGGAUUGUAAACCCCUGUCAUGUGGGAGCAAAUUAAAAAGAUAGUACCACAAGAGGAAGAGACGGCUAACUCUGUGCCAGCAGCCGCGGUAAUACAGAGGUCUCAAGCGUUGUUCGGAAUCACUGGGCGUAAAGCGUGCGUAGGCUGUUUAGUAAGUCGGGUGUGAAAGGCGCGGGCUCAACCCGCGGACGGCACAUGAUACUGCGAGACUAGAGUAAGGGAGGGGGAACCGGAAUUCUCGGUGUAGCAGUGAAAUGCGUAGAUAUCGAGAGGAACACUCGUGGCGAAGGCGGGUUCCUGGACAUUAACUGACGCUGAGGCACGAAGGCCAGGGGAGCGAAAGGGAUUAGAUACCCUGGUAGUC